rnacentral:tRNA from 1 species
GGGGUUGUGGCUCAGCGGUAGAGCACUCACUUGGCACAUGCAAGGUCCUGAGUUUGAUUCUCAGCACCACA